rnacentral:lncRNA from 1 species
GGAAACACAGUUUGGUAAAAACCCCAUUGAAAAAAAACAACAUCAAAUCCACACUAACAACCAAUUCGCAGCCUUACAAAAGGAAUGCAAUGAAGAGGUUCCUGGUAACCAACUGGCUGUGAUAGAAGAAUCCCCAGUUUCAAAAAACACAACCAACAAAGAUAUCUCCACAUCAGACCUGGAAAAUGUGGUACAUCAACAAGAUGCUCCUAGCUCUUCAAAG